CCGUAACUAUAACGGUCCUAAGGUAGCGAAAUUCCUUGUCGGGUAAGUUCCGACCUGCACGAAUGGCGUAAUGAUGGCCAGGCUGUCUCCACCCGAGACUCAGUGAAAUUGAACUCGCUGUGAAGAUGCAGUGUACCCGCGGCAAGACGGAAAGACCCCGUGAACCUUUACUAUAGCUUGACACUGAACACUGGUCCUUGAUGUGUAGGAUAGGUGGGAGGCUUUGAAGCGUGGACGCCAGUCUGCGUGGAGCCAACCUUGAAAUACCACCCUUUAAUGGCUGGUGUUCUAACGUAGACCCGUAAUCCGGGUUGCGGACAGUGUCUGGUGGGUAGUUUGACUGGGGCGGUCUCCUCCCAAAGAGUAACGGAGGAGCACGAAGGUUAGCUAAUCCUGGUCGGACAUCAGGAGGUUAGUGCAAUGGCAUAAGCUAGCUUGACUGCGAGCGUGACGGCGCGAGCAGGUGCGAAAGCAGGUCAUAGUGAUCCGGUGGUUCUGAAUGGAAGGGCCAUCGCUCAACGGAUAAAAGGUACUCCGGGGAUAACAGGCUGAUACCGCCCAAGAGUUCAUAUCGACGGCGGUGUUUGGCACCUCGAUGUCGGCUCAUCACAUCCUGGGGCUGAAGUAGGUCCCAAGGGUAUGGCUGUUCGCCAUUUAAAGUGGUACGCGAGCUGGGUUUAGAACGUCGUGAGACAGUUCGGUCCCUAUCUGCCGUGGGCGCUGGAGAAUUGAGGGGGGCUGCUCCUAGUACGAGAGGACCGGAGUGGACGCAUCACUGGUGUUCGGGUUGUCAUGCCAAUGGCACUGCCCGGUAGCUAAAUGCGGAAGAGAUAAGUGCUGAAAGCAUCUAAGCACGAAACUUGCCCCGAGAUGAGUUCUCCCUGAGACUUUAAGUCUCCUGAAGGAACGUUGAAGACGACGACGUUGAUAGGUCGGGUGUGUAAGCGCAGCGAUGCGUUGAGCUAACCGAUACUAAUGAACCGUGAGGCUUAACCUU
rnacentral:rRNA from 1 species